CUGCCGGUAUUGGUCGAAGGUUCCGUGCAAACGGAUGAAAAGGGAACACCGUCAGCUUCUGUUUUGAGGAGCAAGUCGGAGACUGUACCCGCAACUGUAGGCAGUCGCCCGCAACCGUUGCCCGCAUAAGGGCAGCCACUGGUAAGUAACCGGGAAGGCAGGAUGUGGUGCAUAGGCUGCAAGUCAGGAGACCUGCCUUCGUCUUGCACAGUAC
rnacentral:ncRNA from 2 species